rnacentral:rRNA from 1 species
UAAUGUCUGGGAAACUGCCUGAUGGACGGGGAUAACUACUGGAAACGGUUACUAAUACCGCACAACGUCACAAGACCAGGGAGGGGGACCUUCGGGCCUCUUGCCUUCGGAUGUGCCCAGAUGGGAUUAGCUAGUGGGUGGGGUAACGGCUCGCCUCGGCGACUAUCCCUACCUGGUCUGAGAGGAUGACCACCCACACUGGAACUGAGACACGGUCCCUACUCCUACCGGAGGCGGGGAAGGGGAAUAUUGGACAAUGGGCGCGAGCCUGAUGCGCCCAUGCCGCGUGUAUGAAGAAGGCCUUCGGGUUGUAAAGUACUUUCAGCGGGGAGGAAGGCGAUAAGGUUAAUAACCUUGUCCAUUGACGUUACCCGCAGAACAGGCACCGGCUAACUCCGUGCCCGCAGCCGCGGUGAUACGUGAAGGUGCAAGCGUUAAUCACAAUUACUGGGCGUAAAGCGCACGCAUGCGGUCUGUCAAAUGUGGAUGUGAAAUCCCCGGGCUCAACCUGGGAACUGCAUUCUGAAACUGGCAGAGCUAGAGUCUUGUAGAGGGGGGGUAGAAUUUCCAGUGUAGCGGUGAAAUG